UCUUCAGAUCUCACGUUCUCGACGUAGUCGCCUCCUUCUUCUUCCUCUCCACUGAGUUCUGUAACCUUAGUUUCAAUAUUAUUCAAUUCGAUCUUCAAUUCUGUCAUUACGCUCCGCUCACUUCUCUUCCCUCUCUGUCAUUUAAUUUCAAUAAGAGCAGCCUCUGUAACCGAUUGAAACUUCCCCUAUAAAUAAGGGUUAUUGGGGAAAUGGAGACUUACACAGUCGAGAUUUCUUGCUUAUCUGCAAAACAGCCGCGAGCCCUUCGAAAAUGGCAUCUUCCUAUGUUCUUCUCGGCAACCUGAGAGCAGGCCGUUGCUCAAACACGGCGGAGGUGCUCAAUAAGAAUACUAGAUAUACUCUUAAACCAGUCCGAUAUUGUAGAGGAUGGCUAUGACAAUGCUGUGAGAUCAUAAGUGUUGAUGAAAAUUUAAUGUACUUUUUCCAAAUUCUUAAGCAUAUGGAUCAGAGGCCCUGGUUCUUAUAAUGAAUAAAGUUUGCUGUUUGAUCCUCUCGGAGAAAGAAGCCGAGAUUGGCAACAUGAAUCCGGGGAAGAGACAUUUGACGCUAUUUUAGACAUUGUCCUGAGGCCUUGCAAGGAGGCUUAAAAUGCAUGGUACAUGUUAUAUCAUAUCUUCAUGAACACUCGCCAUUUCUUUUCUCAAAACUGUAUGUUCUUAUGAGCUUCUCUGACUCAUAUUGCACAGUCAAAGUAUGUUCUUCCGUCAACUGAAUUACUCAGUUAUAUACAACCUCUAUUAUGUA